UGAAGCUAUUUUAACAUCUGUGAGGAGGGCUGGUUUAUUCAGAGUUUCAGUCUUUGUUCCUGAAGGUUCAGAACCAUGAAGUGGAUCGUCCACCUCACCGUGGUUCUUCUGAACGUCCUCUGGGUCGCCUUCUUUCUAACGGAUCCUUUAGCAGUGUUUGUCCAGAAAAGAAGCUCCAGCAGCUCUGAGGAGACGAUGGUCGGAGAGUUUUGUCUUCAGACUCCAUCAGAUCUAAAGUGGAAACCAGCUCCAGGAACGUUUGACGUCUCUGCUGAUCAAACCAGAACGACGGACCCUAACAGAGAGAAGAAGAACACACCGGAUGAAACCCACACAGAACCAAAGCACCUGAACUCAUCACAGCUUCCAGAGAUCAGAGCUCCGACCGCGUAAGUUUAUUUUCACUGUUUCAGCUUCACCAGAACAUCUGCAUAUUUACUGAUGAAAGUAUCCCCCCCCACACAGAAAUCUUCUGUUUUGCAUGUUGGUCACAUAAAUGUUUCAGAUCAUCAAACUAAUUUAAAUGUACGAGAAACCCAAGAAAACACAAACUGCUUUUUUAGAUGAUUUUACCUUUUGAAGG